UCAGGAUGAACGCUAGCGGCAGGCUUAUACAUGCAAGUCGUGGGGCAGCGCAGGUAGCAAUACUGGGCGGCGACCGGCAAACGGGUGCGGAACACGUACACAACUUCCGAGAAGUGGGGAAUAGCCCAGAGAAAUUUGGAUUAAUACCCCGUAACAUAACGAUGUGGCAUCACAUUGUUAUUAUAGCUUCGGCGCUUCUUGAUGGGUGUGCGGCUGAUUAGAUAGUUGGCGGGGUAACGGCCCACCAAGUCUACGAUCAGUAGCUGAUGUGAGAGCAUGAUCAGCCACACGGGCACUGAGACACGGGCCCGACUCCUACGGGAGGCAGCAGUAAGGAAUAUUGGUCAAUGGACGCAAGUCUGAACCAGCCAUGCCGCGUGAAGGAUUAAGGUCCUCUGGAUUGUAAACUUCUUUUAUCUGGGACGAAAAAAGGCGAUUCUUCGUCACUUGACGGUACCAGAUGAAUAAGCACCGGCUAACUCCGUG
rnacentral:rRNA from 1 species